CAUUAAUAUUUCACAAUUUGUUAUAAUUAUAAAACUACAUUCCUUCCUUUCUCUUAAAAAUGUAAUUAUAAAAUUAAUUGAUUAUAAAUUUCGCGUGAAUUGUUUUCCUUUAUUGCCGUUAACAUUAAAGUAUACGUAAAAAAUAUAUACUGUAGAAACAUUAUGCAUAAUUAAUCUAAAUUUUUCAGAGUGAAAAUGUUUCUUUUUUGCCUAUAACAAUAAAUAUGUAAUGAUAAUUUAAUUGGUUUGCAUACACAUUGUAGAAAGAUAAUUUUAUCGAUAUUGGCUUAUUGUAUCAAAUAGAUGUAAAGAUAUUUUAAGAGAUAUUUAAUUAAUAAUGCCGUCUUCUAAAAAUAUUAUACUAUAUCUCAAUACGACGAGGAUCCUGAACACACAACAGAAGCGUGUAAAAUCAGAAUUUAAAAAUUUGUUGUAUCACUGUGCUCCACACAGAAUUUCAAUUUCAAUUCCAUUCAGAAUCUAUACUUCAAACGAAAAGUGUAAGAUCUGUAAAUGUGACAUCAAUGCUGAAUUUCUGAAGUAAAUCGAACGAUAUUGAAAUUAAAUUCAUCCUAAUUGUUGAUGAAAUCUUGUACAACGGGGUGCGAGAGUGCAAUAAAGCCAUCUUAAAAACUGAAAGAUCAUAGAGUGAAUGUCAUAUUGAACAAAAAUUUGAUUGGGAAAACAAAUCGUGCAAAAUAUUACUUUUUAUAGGCAACUGAAAAGAUAUUGGCGGUAUUGAAAAAUUAUUUACGUUCGCUUUAAUUACUCAAAAUGUUUCUAUUGUUGUUCAUUUUCUGUGUAUGUUAAUAUUAACGGCAACUAGGAAAAAUGUUUCGUUAGAAGAAAAUUGAAACGUGUCGAGCAGAAUUUAAAGAUGCUUAGAUAUUCUUCGAAUUUUGUGGACAAGAGUUACGAGCCCCUCGGUUCUUCGUUUCUUCUCGAUGUGAUUGCAAAUUCGUCGGAUCUUUCGCGUUCUCGAUGGACCUAUCCGACGAGUCUAUCGUAAUUUGAGCUUUUUUUUUUUUUUUAAAUCGCUGUUCGAUUUUAAAUGCACCCGACAUAGAGAAAGGAAAAAGAAGAAGAAGAAAAAAAAAAAAAUGGAUCGCCCGUUUUUUCCUGCGAAGUCGCCGUUGUCAAACUUCUGAUUCGCGUAAAAGAAUACAGAAAAAUUCUUAAGAGAGGGAAAAAGGGAGUUCAGAGCGGCGAGCUUCUUGAAAACUUUUUUCAAAUAAUAACCCGAAGAAACUCUUUAAUAUUAAACAAAAAAAAGAAAAAAACGUAAAAAAAUAAAAAAAAUAAAAAUAAAAAAGCAUAGGCAUUAAGGUACUCUCUCUCUAUAACGUAACGUAAACGUGUAAGGGCUGUCAUUGUAUUAAAAUAAUGAAUUAAACUACGGCAGAACCUACACUAUAACAGUACGAUAGUAAGCAAAAAUAAACCCAAAGAGACGUAUACACGACGUGGCCAGGAAGAGUCGUUCGAUGACUCCAAAAAAAAAGGGGAGGAAAAAAUGAAAUAAGAAAAUUCUAUUUUAAUCUCAGAAAUUCUUUCUUCUCUUUUAUUUUGUUGUUUCUUUUGUUUCUUCUUCGUCUUCGGUUUAUGGUCGUCGAAGAGACCACUUCCUUGACACUCGGUAUAGUUCAGGAAAAUAAUUUAUAAUUAGGGAGCAACCGAAUGUGUGCGUGCGUGAAAGUGAAAAAAUAAGAAGUAAAAAAAAAAAAAAGAAAAAAUAAAAACUAAAAGCAAAAAAACGCGAUACGAAGAGAUACUACGAAUUACGUAUGAGAACGUUUGAAUUUCGUCUGGUCGCGGUGAGAAAAUGACCGAUACGAGAGUGGCAGAGUGAGUGGGAGAGUUUGCGAAUGGGGAGAAUGGACAUUUAUAAAUCUAUUAUUGUAAUAAUUAUAGAAACAGUGGAGCAUAAUGUAUAUGUACGUUUCUUUACUUCCUGCGGUGAGCCAGAGAGCAGUAAGAUAGUUCUUAAGAGCACGCGUAAUAAAAAGAAAACAAAAGAAAGAGGUACGUCGUAUAGCAUAUAUUACGAGAUAAAACGAACGGAAAGGGAAAUGGUCGAACAGAAAUAAACGAGAUUCAAAACGCCAACAAACAUAAAGCGAAUAAAUAUGUUUGAAAAGAAAAAAAAAAAAAAAAAAAGAAUAGAAGAUGGAAGAAAAAUGAAACAAGAGAGGCAAGGUUCGACGCAAUUUUACGACGGAAGGAAAAGUAAUUUCAUUCCGAUAUCAUCCUAUAUAAACAUAUAAA